UACGUAGGGGGCAAGCGUUGUCCGGAUUUAUUGGGCGUAAAGAGCGUGUAGGCGGCUUGUCACGUCGGGUGUGAAAGCCCGGGGCUUAACCCCGGGUCUGCAUUCGAUACGGGCUGGCUUGAGUGCGGUAGGGGAGACUGGAAUUCCUAGUGUAGAGGUGAAAUUCGUAGAUAUUAGGAAGAACACCAGUGGCGAAGGCGGCUCACUGGCCCGGUACUGACGCUGAGGCGCGAAGGCCAGGGGAGCAAAGCGGG
rnacentral:rRNA from 1 species